UCUGGUUGAUCCUGCCAGUAGUCAUAUGCUUGUCUCAAAGACUAAGCCAUGCAUGUGUAAGUGUAAGCGAUUAACGGUGGGACUGCGAAUGGCUCAUUAAAACAGUGAUAGUUGAUGUGAUGGGUGCAGAUGGAUACCCGUAGUAAUUCUAGAGCUAAUACAUGCCACGUGUUUAUUAGAUCUCGUCCCGCUGGGAACAACAGUAAGCGAGAACCGCGUCGGGAGACGCGGGGCAUCAUGCAAGUUUCUGCCCUAUCAGCUUUGGAUGGUAGUGUCUUGGACUACCAUGGCAGUGACGGGUGACGGAGAAUUAGGGUUCGAUUCCGGAGAGGGAGCCUGAGAGACGGCUACCACAUCUAAGGAAGGCAGCAGGCGCGCAAUUACCCAAUCCUGACUCAGGGAGGUAGUGACCAGAAAUAACGACGACGGGUUUCGAUUCGUCGAUUGCAAUGAGCACAAUGUAAAAUUCUUAGCGAGUACCGACUGGAGGGCAAGUCUGGUGCCAGCAGCCGCGGUAAUUCCAGCUCCAGUAGCGUAUAUUAAAGUUGUUGCAGUUAGAAAGCUCGUAGUUGGACGUCUCUGCGACACGCAGCUCCGCCACGCAACUGGUCACGCUCUUAACUGAGCGGCCGAGACCUGCGGGCCCUUUACCUUGAGGAAACUAGAGUGUUUAAGGCAGGCUCCGCCUGAAUACUGCAGCUGGGAAUAAUGCGCACGACUGUCUUGGCGAGGCAGCUCCACACUUUUAAUAGGAACAGUUGGGGGCAUUCGUACUCAGCAGUCAGAGGUGAAAUUCUUGGAUUUGCUGAAGACGGACUAGUGCGAAAGCAUUUGCCAAGGAUGUUUUCAUUAAUCAAGAACGAAAGUUAAGGGAUCCAAGACGAUCAGAUACCGUGUUAGUCUUAACCAUAAACGAUGCCGACUAGGGAUCGGGAGAGACGUACACACUCUCUCGGCACCUCACGAGAAAUCCAAGUCUUUGGGUUCUGGGGGGAGUAUGGUCGCAAGACUGAAACUUAAAGGAAUUGACGGAAGGGCACCACAAGGAGUGGAGCCUGCGGCUUAAUUUGACCCAACACGGGGAAACUUACCAGGUCCAGACAUAGUGAGGAUUGACAGAUUGACAGCUCUUUCUUGAUCCUAUGGGUGGUGGUGCAUGGCCGUUCCUAGUUGGUGGAGUGAUCUGUCUGGUUAAUUCCGAUAACGAACGAGUCCUCAGCCUGCU
rnacentral:rRNA from 1 species